AUUGAACGCUGGCGGCAGGCCUAACACAUGCAAGUCGAGCGGAGCGGCGGACGGGUGAGUAAUGCCUAGGAAUCUGCCUGCUUGUGGGGGAUAACGUCCUGAUACGGGCGCUAAUUCCUCAUACUUUCAGUUCAGCCUAGGUCGGUUUAGCUAGGUGGUGGGGUAAAGGCCUACCAAGGCGACGAUCCGUAACUGGUCUGAGAGGAGGAUCAGUCAGAGUGGAACGGAGACACGGUCCAGACUCCUACGGGAGGCAGCAGUGGGGAAUAUGGGACAAUGGGCGAAAGCCUGAUGCAGCCAUGCCGCGUGUGUGAAGAAGGUCAUCGGAUUGUAAAGCACUUUAAGUUGGGAGGCGUUACCAACAGAAUAAGCACCGGCUAACUACGUGCCAGCAGCCGCGGUAAUAC
rnacentral:rRNA from 1 species